rnacentral:misc_RNA from 1 species
CUCAACAUUUCAGUUGCUUUGCUUAUGUAUAGUCAUAGAGAUCAGAGGAAUAAAGCUAGAUUCACAUCUUCAGAUUCCAAAGCAGUUGUAAGUAAUAGCAUUGAAAAUCAAAUCAAAUGUAGAGUACAAAAGAAACACAAAUUUGAUGAAUUUAGGGGUGCCUCGUCCAUCUAUCUAUCCUUUUAGGCCUUUUGGCUGGAUAAAUCCAAACGUUUACAUUUUUGCUCUUUUUAUCCGAACCUUUUAAUUUUGAAUAAUUAAAUCAAAACUUUCAAAAUCAAAGAAAUUUUUAUCCAACACUCAAAUUAGAAUUUAGUAAAUUAUAAUUUAGUCCCUGAGAUUUGACGAAACUAUACAAUAUUUUCUAAAUCAAGUAAUUUAGUCCUUGAUUUGUUAACAACUUAGUCCCUUAAUUUAAACUUUAUAUUUAAAUACUAUAAUUAAUAUAUGAUUUUUCUCAAAAUUAAUUCUUCCUCUUGUCAAGAAUUUUUAAGAAUUUUGAAAUUUUUCUUAAGUUUUCCAAUAUAUGUUUUUUAUAUUUAAUCAUUGAAAUUUUGAUUUCUUGAAAUAAAAUAAAAAAAAUUCUUGCGCUAGAAAAACAGAGAUUUAAGGCCACAACUCGACCCGUGAGAUCUCUCCCCGACACUUUGAUCUUCGCGUUUCCAACGGCUAUGGGUUCUUCGGACGGAUUGGUGAAUAAAGGCAAGUCCUGACUCAAUCGCAGUCUGUGACGACUAUAUUAGGGUAGGAAAGAUCAAAGUUUCCCAUUUUUGUCCUAGAAAAUAUAUACAGUUAAAGACAUUGGUCAUUUUUGCUAUAAUUAACAGUUGUUGAAAAUUAUGUACCCAAGAGUGUAAAUAUCAGAUUGGUUGGCUACACGUUGAAUUAGGCUUGAGAAGGGGCUUUCCAUCUCACCCGAUUAGUAUGCCAAUACUAGUAUGCCUUUUAAUUUUCUUGUACAGUGCCAAUGUAGGACUUGUUCCUGCAAGUGAUAUUCUAACACUCUCCCUCAGGUGGUAACCGGGACAUCCAAUUGGCACUUAAAACCUAAAACUGAAAUGCAGCCUCAACAAUAGGAAACAGAACUAAAAUUGACAUGCUCUAAUAUCAAGUUGAGAAUUAUGGACCUAAGAGUGUGAAUAUCAAAUGGCAGGCUAAACGUUGAAACUGGCUCCCCAUCACCAAAAUAACCUAAGCCUUUUUGGUGUGGUUUGCAAACACUUAUAUGCCUUUUAAUUUUUUUGUACACUGACGAUGUGAGACUUUUUCUCAAAAGUGAUAUUCCAACAUUGUUUCUGUUGGAGUAAAAUCUGCUCAACAUCUAGAGGUAUAAAAUCUUGUUCCAAGAAAUACUUCAUCAUAUAUGAAGCAGGAGUUGGCUCUUUACCUUCUUGCUUCUUGCUUCUUGCUUCUUGCUUUAUUGUAGCUAUUCCCACCAAGCAGAAGCACCACCUGUUCAAUUGAUAAGCCACCAAUUUGACUCAUUUUUCAAGGUGCUAUGUCCACAUGGUCAAAGAAUCUAUACACCUUUGCGAUCCAAUCUAAGAAUUCUUCUACUUUAAGAUCUCCAUAAAAAUUAGGAAUAUCAAUAGCAAUUGAUUUUCCCUUUCAUGAUUCUUAUACGUGCCUCUUCUCCUAUCACUACCGUAUUGUUGAUGCCUAUUGAACUUGA